rnacentral:rRNA from 1 species
AUACGGAGGAUCCGAGCGUUAUCCGGAUUUAUUGGGUUUAAAGGGUGCGCAGGCGGGAGAUUAAGUCGGCGGUGAAAUUUUGCAGCUCAACUGUAAAAGGGCCUUCGAAACUGGUUUCCUUGAGUGUAGAUGAAGUAGGCGGAAUUUGUGGUGUAGCGGUGAAAUGCAUAGAUAUCACGAGGAACUCCGAUUGCGCAGGCAGCUUACUAAACUACUACUGACGCUCAGGCACGAAGGCGUGGGGAUCAAACAGGAUUAGAUACCCUGGUAGUCCACGCAGUAAACGAUGAUUACUAGCUGUUUGCGAUACAAUGUAAGCGGCUGAGCGAAAGCGUUAAGUAAUCCACCUGGGGAGUACGUUCGCAAGAAUGAAACUCAAAGGAAUUGACGGGG